rnacentral:lncRNA from 1 species
UUUUUUUUUUUCUUUUAAGAUGGAGUCUAGCUUUGUCGCCAGGCUGGAGUGCAGUGGCGUGAUCUCAGCUCACUGCAACCUCCGCCUCUCGGGUUCAAGCGAUCCUGCCUCAGCCUCCCAAGUAGCUAGGAUUUCAGGUUCAUGCCUCCGUGCCUGGCUAAUUUUAGUAUUUUUAGGAGAGAGAUUUCACCAUAUUGGCCAGGAUGAUCUCAAUCUCCUGACCUCAAGUGAUCCACCCACCUCAGCCUCCCAAAGUGCUAGGACUACAGGCGUGAGCCACCGCGCCCAGCCUUACUAACCCCUCAUUCUAAAGGUAAAUGGAAGGAUACAACUUGAGAAUGUAGGAGAGAAAAAAAAUUUCUUUUCCUCUAUUCUUUUUCAUUGUGUGGGUCCCUGCAAGUUAGCCUGACAAAAGAUAGAUUAACAGAAGAAAAGGCAUACAAAUUUUAUUUAAUGUUAAUUUUUAGCAAACAGAGGUGCUUUUUGUUUUUUGAAGAGAUGGGAUCUCACUGUGUUGCCCAGGCUGGUCUUGAAACCCUGGGCUCAAGCAAUCCUCCCACCUCAGCCUCCCAAAGUUCUGGGAUGACAGGCAUGAGCCACCAUGCCCAGCCCACAGGGGCUUUUCUAAAAAAUGAAGUGAAGACUCAGUAAAGCAGAUAGGCCUAAGAGCUUAAGUACCACUUUAAACAAAGAAUGAUAAAUUGUGGAGAUGGAACAAGGCAACAGAAAAGUGUUUUAGGUUUCCAAGGGCAAAUGGUGGGAAGGUAAAUAUAUGGGAGGAGAAACUAAUGGAGUAAGGUUGAUUUGUGCAGGUCCACUUUGGUAUUGACAAUCUACAGAAUAGGAGAAAAUUUUUGCAUUCCAUCCAUCUGACAAAGGCCUAAUAUCCAGAGUCUACAAAGAACUUAAACAAAUUUACAAGAAAAAAAACAACCCCAUUAAAAAGUGGGCAAAGGACAUGAACAGACACUUCUCAAAAGAAGACAUUCAUGGAGCCAACAAACAUACAGAAAAAAAGCUCAACAUCACUGGUGGUUAGAUAAAUGCAAAUCAAAACCACAAUGAGAUACCACCUCACACCAGUCAGAAUGGCAAUUAUUAAAAAGUCAAGAAACAUGGCAAGGUCCACAUCGGUGGAAGAAAGCAAGCAAGCUAGGGUGGUAGAUUAUUACCUGUAAAAUUAUCUGGCCCUGGUGGGUUUUCUUUGUAUGUAUGAGAAAAUUUUUAAAUACUAAUUUAAUUUUUAUGAUAAUUGUGAUUUCUCCUAAAUUCAUUCAUUAUAUUCUCUUCUUUUAAUUUCUGUUUAUCAUUAUUGACCUUUUCCCUCUGUCUUUUAAAAAUUAUUAUUAUUUUCUUUUUGAGUCAGAGUUUCACUCUUGUUGUCCAGGCUGGAGUGCAAUGAUGUGAUCUCGGCUCACUGCAACCUCUGCCUCCCAGGUUCAAGCGAUUCUCCUGCCUCCCGCAUAGCUGGGAUUACAGGUGCUCACCACCAUGCCCAGCUAAUUUUUUGUAUUUUUAGUAGAGACGGGGUUUCACCAUGUUGGCCAGGCUGGUCUCGAACUCCUGACCUCAAGUGAUCCACCCACCUCAGCCCCAAAAGUGCUGUGAUUACAGGCAUGAGCUACCACGCCCAACUCUUAU